ensembl:lncRNA
GGGCACUCGAUCCCUUUGUUACAGCAAGAAGCAGCCAACGGGAAAGCCUUCUGCAUCCACUUCCCGGUUAAAGCCCCGCCGCGGCAGACGUUGUUCCUUCCGUUAUUAAUCUAUAUCUUUUAUAAGGACAAAUUCUCUUCAGGAUGUCGUAAGCACACGCUGGGGCCUUCCUUUACAGUCAGACUGCGUGGCGCUGGGCCCGAGCGCUGUACUUACGGACGCAGCCUUACACGCAGCCAAGAAACACCUCUGCUUCCUUUCCCCCGCCGUCUCCGGCCCAGCAGGGCACGAGGCCCGGCCCCAGCGGCGUUCCGCCCCGCCCCGCCUGGCCGCGGAGCAGAGAGCGGCGGGGCGCCGUGCGGGGCUGGGUUUGCCGCCCUCACGCCCUCCCUGCUCCUCAGGCAGCGAUCAUCUGUGAAAAACGAGGGCACCCACCACCUCUCUGGGCAACCUGUGCCAGCGCCUCACCACCCUGAGUGAAAGUAAUGUUGCAAACAGGCCAGCAAGCACCCAAACUGAAUAAGAACACUUUCUGGGAGAAUCUUAAGAGGUAGGCUGACAGUUUUCAUGCUCUGGGUUAUAAAUGAUUGUGAAAUAGUAUAGGGAGGAACAUUACGUUUUCCUUGAAAUUCUAAUCAAGAUAUACAGAGAAUAUCACAGAAUAACACAGAUCUCACAGUUCCCACUAACUGCCUCCCUGUCAGCUUGAUACUUCAUUAUUUAUCACUGCCCAUUUUUUAUGGUAACAGUUGACAUUAGAUUAUUACUGACCUGGUUGAUAUUUGGAUUUAUUCCCUAGAGGUUAAAGACUUUGUAGUUUCAUUUUCUCAGUCCUUUUUAAAAUUCAUAAUUUUAGAGCAUGGAAUAUAUAUUGUUCUAUCAAGUUUAUUUCCUUGACAUUUAUUCAGUGGAAAGUGUGAUCCUAAUAUUAAAGGCAUUUGAUUUGAAGCCCAGGAUACAAAUAAAUCUUUUAACUCAUCUUCCCUAAAACAGGGCACUUUAUCACUGUGGUUCCUCUCACUGGUGUCUAGGAAGUUAAUAUGUUGAACAGCAUAAUUAUUUGAACCGGUAUUUGUUUUUAAAGGAUUUGUAGGUGAUAAUAGAUGGACUAACUCAGUUGUGUCAGAAAAUAUUCAGAGUUCUGACUGCUAAUGUAAUGGUGUUGGUCCUAUACAGAGCCAUAAAAUAUCAUUGUGUGCGAAGUAGUGACAGGAUUUUACUGCAGCUCUUUAUCAUAUGUUACAUUAAAUUUAAACAAAAUUGUUAAAUUUCUUUGUGUGGGUUUUGAUGCCUUCUUCUAUGAAAGUUGUAAUAAUGCUUUCAACCAGAGGGCUGCAUAAGAAUUUAUGCUUGCUAGGUGUCUUUCUCACAUAAUAAGAAUCUCAUUAAUGUUGCCAGCAGAACUAAUUGGACUGUCAUAGUAAGGUUCAGUACCCAGUUGGACAAUUAUGGUGCGAAGCCAAUAGAAUUUAGCAUAUUCUGCUGGUGGGCAAAGCUGACAUAAGUCAUUAAUGAGAUGCUUCUAAAGCCUUACUCUCCACAAAAAUGCAGGUAUUCUGAGGGGCUUUCUUGGACUAUGUAAAUAUGAAGGACAAAUGCAAGAACUCUUCUAAAUUUUUCAAAAGCAAGUUGUUGACAGUUCAAGAUACAGUAAAGGUUUUCUCCUUUAUCAGCACAGACAUUGAAAGUACUGCCAGGUAGCACCUAGACACCAUAAAUCAUUGAUGAGAGUGAAUAGUUUCAAAUUAAUACAAAAAAAAAAAAAACAACUUUAAGGCACAGGGCAUCUAAAGAAGUCAUUGUCUAGGGCCUGCUGCUUUUAAAAUGGUCAUUUCAGUUCCCAUUAAUUCACAUCUCUAAUUAGGAAAUGGAUUGAUCUCUUGCUUAAAGUUGCUAGUGACUGGCUGGUGUCCAUGUCAGAUCAGAAGUGUGCAUACAAAUUAAGUAUUAUUAGUGACUGCUGUUGUAUAAGUUUAAAUAAAUACAAGCUAAAUGAAAACUGUGGACUGUGUUCUAUAGGCAGAACAAAAACGUAUUUCAGAUCUGAUUCUAUCCAUAGCUCCUGAUGUUUAUGCUCUGAAUCGUAGUAGGAAACCGUGAUCAGUUGCAUUUUCACUAGACUGCCA